rnacentral:rRNA from 1 species
GACGAACGCUGGCGGCGCGCCUAACACAUGCAAGUCGAACGAGCGAGAGAGAGCUUGCUUUCUCGAGCGAGUGGCGAACGGGUGAGUAACGCGUGAGGAACCUGCCUCAAAGAGGGGGACAACAGUUGGGAACGACUGCUAAUACCGCAUAAUGCUUUUGAGCGGCAUCGCUUGAAAGCCAAAGAUUUAUCGCUGAAAGAUGGUCUCGCGUCUGAUUAGCUAGUUGGUGAGGUAACGGCUCACCAAGGCGACGAUCAGUAGCCGGUCUGAGAGGAUGAACGGCCACAUUGGGACUGAGAUACGGCCCAG